rnacentral:rRNA from 1 species
CGAGAGGCCCAAACGUUAUUCGGAUUUACUGGGCUUAAAGAGUUCGUAGGCGGCGCAGAAAGUAGGGUGUGAAAGCCCUCGGCUCAACCGAGGAAUUGCGCUCUAAACUACUGUGCUCGAGGGACCUAGAGGUGAGCAGAACUGAUGGUGGAGCGGUGAAAUGCGUUGAUAUCAUCAGGAAUACCGGAGGCGAAGGCGGCUCACUGGGGGUCUUCUGACGCUGAGGAACGAAAGCCAGGGGAGCGAACGGGAUUAGAUACCCCGGUAGUCCUGGCCGUAAACGAUGAGCACUAGGCCGGAGGGCUGCACAGCCUUUCGGCCGUAGCUAAAGUGUUAAGUGCUCCGCCUGGGGAGUAUGGUCGCAAGGCUG